UAAGUUGAUUUAUAAUUUUUUUAGGAAAAAGACCCCCUCGAUCAGUUCAAUACACAACAACGAAAAAAAAAACCCUAUGUUUUCUGAAAAAACCUCUCGUCUCAGCUUGCUCUCUAGCUCUCGAUCCCUAAUCUCGCCGCCGUCCUCUGUGCCACGUAGCUCGACAUCGCCGUGAUCUGUGCCACGUAGCUUGACGUCGCCGUGCUCUGAUCGAUAUCCAUUCCUCCCAAAUCUUGAAGGGAUCGUUGUACAGGACACGCACUCUAUUCCUCUGUUCUCGAUAGUCGAUCAGUGCUUCUUUCUCGCUUUGUCGCAGCAAGACAUGGAUUACGGUUAAGUGGAGAGAAGCUGGAUGCUACGCUUGCAAAGAACUUGAAUAGCCUCCCAUUGGCCGUCCAAGAUUCACUUUGAGAGAACCACCAAGUCAAAGCUUAGCAAUAUCAUGUGCGUAUAACAUUUGUGUGGCCUUUUAAGCAAGGUAAUUUUUCAUUCUUGUUUAGCUGCAUUUAAGCAAAUUUUGUAGUUGAUGUUUCAAUUUAUUCCCUUAAGAAAGGGGGCUGUGAAGCAUUUGAAUAGGUAUGCUAUCAUCAUCUGAUUUUCCUCUUUAGCAAAUAUGGCAGUUGUAAAUAGAGAACUGCUUUCCUCCCUUGUUUUUCUUACAAAUUUGUCUUUUGUGUCCUGCAAUAAUUUUCACUUCAAUGAAAAGGUGCUUCAAGAAUUCACAAAUAUUUAGAUU